UACGUAGGGUGCGAGCGUUAAUCGGAAUUACUGGGCGUAAAGCGUGCGCAGGCGGCUUUGCGAGACAGAUGUGAAAUCCCCGGGCUCAACCUGGGAACUGCAUUUGUGACUGCAAGGCUAGAGUACGGCAGAGGGGGAUGGAAUUCCGCGUGUAGCAGUGAAAUGCGUAGAUAUGCGGAGGAACACCAAUGGCGAAGGCAAUCCCCUGGGCCUGUACUGACGCUCAUGCACGAAAGCGUGGGGAGCAAACAGG
rnacentral:rRNA from 1 species